rnacentral:rRNA from 1 species
ACGGAGGGUGCAAGCGUUAUUCGGAAUUACUGGGCGUAAAGGGCGUGCAGGCGGGAGAGAAAGUCUGAUGUGAAAGACCGGGGGUUAAACCCGGAAGGGCAUUGGAAACGGCUUUUCUUGAGUUCUGGAGAGGAAGGGAGAAUUCCCGGUGUAGAUGUGAAAUUCGUAGAGAUCGUGAGGAACAGCAGUGGCGAAGGCACCCUUCUGGACAGCAACUCACGCUGAUACGCGUAAGCGUGGGGAGCAAAAAG